rnacentral:lncRNA from 1 species
CACAUUGUUGGAAUAGGAUACUUUGACAUUCAGUCACGAGUUAUCCUGAGAAUUUCAAAAUGUCAGUAGGCCAUUGCUCUUCUGAAUUAACUAGUGCAGGAUCUACUGUGCUUUUGCUUUGCGUUGCCUGCAUGUAUUACAUAGGAAACACACACAUAAGCACAACAUUCCAUAAAUGUUUCAUAAUGCUUGUAGAUAGAUGAUAUCAGUGUUAAUUUAUUUUCAGGUAAAGCUCAGGUUUCCAUAGCACAAAAUUUUGCUUGGAACUACUGACUGCAUGAUAUUUGGCCCUGUGGUGUUACCAUCAAGCUGAACUGCUUUAAUUCUCUUCCGGUUUGUAAUUAUAAACUAUUUGGAACAUAUUUAUGAACAUCUGAAAGAACAAAAGAGGUAUUUGAAAGUAUUACAUAGUUUGUAGCAUGGUUGCGCAAAUGCUGGAUCCUCACUUAGUACAGGCGGUUCCUGACCAAAUAUCAUCUCGCAGCUCAUAUCAUCAAAAUCUGCAAGAUACAGAAGGUUGUGGGUGUUAAAACCAUAUAUAAAAAUAUAAACUCAGACAUGUCACUGAUUCUGCCUGGUUAAUUGUUGUUCUGUAUAUGUACGUUGCUGGUAAUAAAUUGCUCGUAAGCACAACUUUAAAUUACAGUAUCUGAUUGAUAUAUGCUGACUAAAUGAUUUAUGGAAACUAGGAACUUUGCAUACAGAUGACAGGUCUUCUAGAAAGAAUCACCUCUACGGCUAUCCCCUUAUCGAGAUAUCAAUGACGGUGGGAUUGCAAACCACUGAUAACUCAAGCUUAAUUAGAGUCUAACUAUUAGGUAAUUUUCUUUUGAAGUGCAAUUAAAUAGCUCUACAACUCUACCUUGUUAUAAUGGCUAUGCUGCACCCUUAGUGGUUCAUUCGUGGGACCUUCCAUUGAGUUGUUUAGUAAGCUAUGCAUAUAUUAGUGUGUGUACUGUUGCGUUGUCUGGUGAUCACCCUUUUUAUUGUCUCAUGUUGGCUAGUGGUUUAAUUUAAGUGGAAAGUAUGGUUUUUUAAUUUCUAUGAUGAUAAAAUAGCUGUUUUAAUUCAAUUUAAUAAUUGUAUUUUCUAUGCCAAAGACAUAGUUUAUAUAUGUACCCUUUGUGUUGGAGUAUAUAUAAACAAAACAAAUAGGUAUGCGAACCUGAGGAUAUAUUAAUUGGCAUAUAUAGCUAUUGCAUGAGCUUCCUGUUGUUAAAGGUACUUACUGGGAACCAUGUUGAAUGGUACUCCAAAGGAGUCCUUAAUGAACGCUUGCGAAGGCAUCUUACAUAGAUUAGUGCACAUAUUGACGCAAUUACUCUCCUCCAAAAACCUGAAACUUAUAACCACAAUGUAAGAUUGUGACAUCUAUGAUGCCAAUGAUGAUGUUAAUAAUGACUUGAUUGAUAGAACUAUCAUGAUGCAAGAAUAGGAAAAGGAGUAAAGGGAAUUGGAAUCAUUGGCACAGAAGAAAACUGUCCAAAUUAACUUCACUCGUUUCUGCAAGGUACUGAUUAUGCCUACUUAUAGAAUUUUGAGUGGAUCCCUAGGGGGUCCAGAUGGCCUGGCUUACGGAACUGGUUCCUCUAUACCAGAGUGGAACUUCCUCCCACAAACUAAUAGAUGUUACACUCUAUGGAAGGCAGUAAGUUACUGUACCUGCAUUUUUUGAUGUGGACAACAUUCUUUUCUUCUUUCCCAUUGAACUUUGAUUCCCUCACCUUGUAUGAUAAAAUAAUACAUUAUUAGUAGAAAUUUUAAGAAAAUAUAAGGCAUUGUACUUGUCAUCUGAUCUCCUUGAUGCACAGGAUCUUAUUUUUUUCUAUUUGCCAAUGCACACACUGUCACAAAUUAAUACCUAAAUACGGUGCAACACUUGGAGUUGCUGUUGACCAGUGCAACUUGGUAAGGUUUACACAACUGUAGUAUGCAUAGUUUAUGGUUCUAGAUAGUAUGUUAGUAAGUACUUAAUCUGGACCUCCUUAUGAAAAUUAUAUCUAUUGAUUGCACAUCAGAGUAAUUGGUACCUCGCAAGGGCCAACUAGCCAGGAAAAGAAUAUUGUGGUGAACACUGCAAAAAAUUCCCUCUGAAGUUUAGAUGGUGGUAGCACCGUCCUGAUCUGCCAUUAAAAAUUACACCAACAUUAGAUAUCUUUGAUGCUAUUUCUGACAUAAUAAUUAAGUAUGUCUACAUGUUUAUGUUAAAUAUGUAUGGCUUCANGUCAUGAUGGACGAACUUACCAAUGAGAGAAUAGGCUUUGGAAAAGCUUUCUCCAGAGCUUGAGUGACCAGUUCUAGUUGUUGGUCUGGGCUAAAGUGCUGCCUAGCUACUACUGUGGCCUCGACCAGACCUUCAUAUCCCUCCUUGCUGCUCUUGAAUCCUGUAGUUCAAUAGAGAUUAUGUGUAUACGUUCUACCUUCAGUUCAACCUCAACCACUACAUAUAUAUUUAUCAUCUAAAAUGAAGCUGCAGCUAACCUAUAGUUUCUUGUACACUCCGCGAUAGAUGAUUAAUAGCAAUUCUGUCAAACCAGUUGUCAUUAUACUCCGUCUUUGUAGUUGCUAACCGUUCUAAAUUUUCUGUAGGCCUUGUCAUCACAGCCACAAUACGAGGAGCAUAUCUAUGUUUCUGCAUGUUGCGUUGGUGCAUACGUGGCAAGGUCGGGCUCGCGACAUGCUGAACAAGCCUUGCAUCCAUUUUUACAACUACCAAGGUGUGUUUCCUGAAUCCUGAGAUUUGAUACCUUCUUUCUUGAUUCUUAAGUGGUGAAAUUUAAGAGUUUUGAACACUCUGAGGAAGCUGCAUAAAACAAAAGAGUAUGGUAGAGCAUAUUAACCACAAAUAUUCCUCAUGUAUGAAACACUUAAAUCAAAACAAAAGAUAAGCCAUGCUGAAAAGUAGACAGUUGGCAUAGUUCACAAGAGCCACACCAUUACGUCAUUCAUGUCCGGCCUAAAAUGAUUCUUGCUAGUUGGUGAAUUUUUUAAUACAGGCACAACAGAUAUGGCCAGUCAUAUAAUACAAUUAUACAUUAAUCUUGUGGGCCCCGCAUGUUAAUCAAAUUAUGAUUACUCCAUUUUAUCUAAAAUUACCCAAGAAGUGCUUCAUAUUAAACGGUCAAGAUGAGAGGACUGCUCAGGUGAAUUUACCAAUCAAGUGAAAUAUUUUAUUAUUAUUUUUUUAAUUUGGAUAUGAUUUCUUUGGUUCAGUGAACUUCAUAACAGCAAAGGAAUCUCUAAUGUUAUGAGAAAUAUUGCGGGUAAUAGUUUGGUACAAAAUUAUGACGUGGAUAAUGUAGCAGUUUGAGGCGAGAGAGAUUAAUGUGAAC